GCCAGAGCCAUAUCACCCUGCAGCUCUUGUCUGAUUUCCCACUGAAGCCAAGCAGGGUUGAGCCUGGCCAGUACCUGGAUGGGAGACCUUCUGGGGAAAACUAAGGUUGCUGCUGGAA
rnacentral:rRNA from 1 species